CAAGUCGAGCGGAAACGAAGAGUAGCUCGCUACUCUGGCGUCGAGCGGCGGACGGGUGAGUAAUGCUUGGCAACAUGCCUUGAGGUGGGGGACAACAGUUGGAAACGACUGCUAAUACCGCAUAAUGUCUACGGACCAAAGGGGGCUUCGGCUUCUCGCCUUUAGAUUGGCCCAUGUGGUAUUAGCUAGUUGGUGAGGUAAUGGCUCACCAAGGCGACGAUCCCUAGCUGGUUUGAGAGGAUGAUCAGCCACACUGGGACUGAGACUCGGCCCAGACUCCUACGGGAGGCAGCAGUGGGGAAUAUUGCACAAUGGGCGCAAGCCUGAUGCAGCCAUGCCGCGUGUGUGAAGAAGGCCUUCGGGUUGUUAAGCACUUUCAGUCAGGAGGAAAGGUUAGUAGAUAAUACCUGCUAGCUGUGACGUUACUGACAGAAGAAGCACCGGCUAACUCCGUGCCAGCAGCCGCGGUAAUACGGAGGGUGCGAGCGUUAAUCAGAAUUACUGGGCGUAAAGCGUACGCAGGCGGUUUGUUAAGCGAGAUGUGAAAGCCCCGGGCUCCACCUGGGAACUGCAUUUCGAACUGGCAAACUAGAGU
rnacentral:rRNA from 1 species